GGGUGGGGGUUUGUUCACUCGAGCCCUGCUGUGGGCAGGAGGUUCAUGCGGCUGCAGCCACGGCUCCCAGCACUUCCCCAGCUCACUGCCUUUUUUCCUGAUGACAAGGGGCCUGAGCUACCUGCUGCCAGCUGUGGCACCCAGCAGUUGCUUACAUUCUGGGGCUAAUUUCCAAGAAGAGCCAGGAAUAAUCUCUUCCCUCCACAUGCUUCUUGGCAGAAGGUUGUGGGAACAGCACCGUGGAUGUUUCCAUCUCUCCUUCUCCAUAGAUGAGACAUAUGAAGCCAAAGUAACAUCAUCCAGCUGAGAAGUCAAUCUUGUAAAGAAGACCAGAAAGCAAACCACACUGUUCCUGAGCAAUCUGCUCACAGCUUUGUUCUUCCAGAGAAGGAACACCUUUUGCCAUCUUUUCUCUCAAAAGAGCGUUUCCCCCGAAGGGUUCAGCUUGCCUCACUCAGCUCCGAGCACAGGAAAUGUUUUGCCAGCGCCGGCAGCUCUGUGCUCCCGACAGGAGCGCCCGCACGGCGAUGCUGCGCUGGCCGCAGCCCAGCCGGCUGCUCCUGGCGGUCUGGUGUAGGCAGGGCAAACUCGGCUGCUGCUUUGUGUGCCGUGCUUCUAGACAGACAGACUCCACACUGAUGAGCUUCUUGCUCUGGUGAUUUUUGCUGCAGUACUCAGCCUGGUCCUCCUGAACUCCGCAGUCACUAUGCUGCAGUCACAGUAGCUGGUAAAUGCAUGCAAAAUGGUUUGGUUUGGUGUUCCUCUGAGUUUCAAGCACCUUUGUUGUCAGAUGGUGGCUAAAUCAUUCACUAGUGAAGACAUUCUUUCUCUGCACAAACCAAAUGGAUCUGUGACCCAUGUAUCCAUUUGUAAAUACAGGUAAAUAGUAUUUUUCUGCCUCACAGCAGUGUUUUAAAAUCUGAUUCAACUAACAAUGAAAAGGGCUUCACUGUUUUCUGGUGAUGAUGAGCUCCAAAAACCUGAAAAACCAAGGUUAGGGUACCUAUGCUUUCACAUAAGGCCAGUGGCUCUGUACCUGACUUGGGGCCUGAUAAUGAUGUCUGCUUAUCUGGGAGUGUGCUUCAGGUAUCUUUGAAAAUCCAGCUGUUUCAAGGCCUCUGACAUUUUGUACUCAUGCGAUGUGGCAUUCAAAAUUGUUCAAAAUCUACUCCAGGUUAUUUUAUAUUACUGCAAUAAUAAGGAAGUAAUUCAUAUUUGUAUUUAAGCUUCACUCAGUACUGUCAAAAGAGACACAUUUUAAAACUUUAAAUAAAUAAAAUGGUAUUUAUUCCUUAAAGAAGAGUACUAUGGCAGCCUGUAGAGAGACGUCUUCUUACAUUUGCCUCUCUAGCCAUAAGGUUUUAAUGAAGAGUCUCAGUGCAGCAUGCACACAUCUUUGCCACACUUGGGAUGCUCCAACCAUCUUCUUAUGCACCCAUUUCUGCUAGAGCACUCCCCCAGCAGGCAUUGAUGCCCUGUUUGCAGGAGUCUUUCCAAAGCCCACCGAGCAGCAGCGCUGGUUAUUUUACAGCCCUUCAUUCUGACUGCA